rnacentral:ncRNA from 1 species
AUGAUCAGUAGCUGGUCCGAGAGGAUGAUCAGCCACACUGGGACUGAGACACGGCCCAGACUCCUACGGGAGGCAGCAGUGGGGAAUUUUCCGCAAUGGGCGAAAGCCUGACGGAGCAAUGCCGCGUGGAGGUGGAAGGCCUACGGGACGUCAACUUCUUUUCUCGGAGAAGAAACAAUGACGGUAUCUGAGGAAUAAGCAUCGGCUAACUCUGUGCCAGCAGCCGCGGUAAGACAGAGGAUGCAAGCGUUAUCCGGAAUGAUUGGGCGUAAAGCGUCUGUAGG